GACGAACGCUGGCGGCGUGCUUAACACAUGCAAGUCGAGCGGUAAGGCCCUUUCGGGGUACGACGAGCGGCGGAACGGGUAGGAGUAACAACGUGGGUGGACCUCGCCCUCCAGCUCUGGGAGUAAAGACCGUCGGGAAACCGGGGUACCGUAAUAACUGGAGUAUGACUCCACUGACGCAUGUUGGUUGGGGUGGGAAAGACCUU
rnacentral:rRNA from 1 species